rnacentral:rRNA from 1 species
UACAGAGGUCUCAAGCGUUGUUCGGAUUCAUUGGGCGUAAAGGGUGCGUAGGUGGUUAGGUAAGUCGGAUGUGAAAUCCCGGGGCUCAACCCUGGAACUGCAUUCGAUACUGCCUGACUUGAGUACUGGAGAGGAGAUUGGAAUUUACGGUGUAGCAGUGAAAUGCGUAGAUAUCGUAAGGAAGACCAGUGGCGAAGGCGGAUCUCUGGACAGUUACUGACGCUGAGGCGCGAAAGCGUGGGGAGCAAACAGG